UAACAUCAUGUCUCUUGACCUCAACUUUUGGAACAGUAGGCACACCAUUCUCCAUAGAAGCUUUAACUUGAUCCAUCUUAGCAUAACUGGGCCACUGUUACGUUCAACACGAUGUCAACACUCUUUUGUUUUGUUCUUUGUUUUUCUUCUUAUAAUAACAAAAAUCCAAGAACAGAGACAUAGCUCUGCUAACAAGAAAUAAACUACCUUAAUAUUUGCAAAACCAAACACGAAGUCUUUUAAUCCUCAUUUUCUUAUUCGAUUUUCAUUAGUGAAAGAAAAAGAAAGCAAAUUCAUGGGUUUAUUUGAUUUUGAUAAGUGGGUUUUGAGGAAAAGAAAAAACAAAUUAUUUGAUUCAAAAUACCUUGAAAUAGACAUGCACAAGCGCAAAAACCAUUCAAAAGCGUGGAAGUUGCAAAUCAAACACUAAUAAACAGGCUAAAAUGGGAUUGGAUUAUUUGUAGAUUGAGUUUGAACCUAUCUCCUCUUGAUUGGUCUUUUUUAUUCAUGGAGGGAUUCUCAAUUUUGCCUGCGCUAAUUACUAAAACGGGUUUUGCAGUAAUGGGUAGUUUAGAGGAAGCUUGUUCUACUGCAGCCAGCGACUCCUCCAGGCGACGUUCAGUCUUCUCUCUCAUAUCACCUUCUCUACAGUUAUUUUUCAGCCACUAACGACAUCGCAGUGCUUGACGACAUCUAAAGUUUAAAUUUUGUUUGUGGUCUAUGAAGUGGUGCUUGUGUGGUAGUAUGAGAUAUGGGGUUCUUAUUUAAAAAGAAGUAUUGCGGUGCUCAAAAGAAGCAUCCCAGAUUCCAAAUACUGUGAAAAGACAUGCACAGAGGCAAAAACCAUUCAAGAAGGCGUAGGAGUUGCAAAUCAAAUACCAAAAGUCAAAGGAGAAAUGCCAAAUCAUCUUUAGUUAACAGGAUUUUAUUUUUCUGGUAUUUGCUCCAAAGAUUAGAUUAGGGGUCAAUUCGCUCCUAGACGUUAGGGGCUAAAGUAGACCUUUUUCCAAUAAUUAUAUAUAUUAAUAUAUUUAAUUUAA